AGCCUGGGAUGCUGAAAUCAGGCUGCUUCCUGUCUGUCUUUACAGGACACUGGCCUGCAUACUAAGAAAUUCCUGGAUCUCCCCUGGAUCCUGACCAUCAUGUGCCCAGAGAAAUUUGUAACAUUGUUGUUUUGAAAUAUGUAAUGACACACACCUUUCACUUUCCUGAUGUGGGUGAAGUGUGGAUCCCAGUGAUGAUUUCUUCUUCAAGAAAUAUACAUCCUAGUUCCCAUGUCCAACGAUGAGAGACCCUGAAUGUGUGUGACCUGUGCCUCCUGGGAGACCAGCCGUAAACUCAUCUGAACCUGACCAAGUUCUGUCUACAUGGUAGAUUUAGACCUCUCUAAGUCCUGUCUACACUGAUUAUGUUUCUGAGACUGUGCGCUUUCUGCAGUGAGGACAUUUAGGCCUGACCUUGUACUCUGUGCAUUGGGACAUGGGGACUCGGGUGGAGGCCUGGCCUGGCCUCUGUCUGGGAAACUCCGUGCCUGCGUCUGAACGUCAGCGCUCAGAUGUCUGGGGUCUGGGGCUGAGGUGGGCUUCUCUGGGUGUCUGUGCUCUCCUCUGAGUGGGGUUCCAUGUCCCUCCCGGGGGUCAGUGCUGCGGUCGUGCUCCUAGUCUGUCCCCCGCCAGGUUCAUCUUCCUGGGGCUCCUGGAGACCCCUCAGGUGGGCUACCUGGUAAUCAUUCCAAUUUUCCAGCACAUUCAGGUUGAGUAGGGAAGCUGGUGCACCUGGUGAAUUGAUUCCAGGGCACAGGAAUCAGGCAAAAAGUCAAUGGGCAGCAGGUGAGGUUGCUGCUGUGCUCUCCUUCCGGUCGACUCUCUCCUCCGAAGAGAACAGAGCUGCUCCUCGUCUUUCAGUCCAGCUCUUCUGUGUUUUCUCAGCAACUCAGCAGGACAAGAAAGACAGAGCCUGCCAGAACCAAGGACAAGCAUUGCGGCAAGGGAGGCAGGUUCACCUGGUGAAUUGAUUCC
rnacentral:lncRNA from 1 species